UACGUAGGGUGCGAGCGUGUCCGGAAUUAUUGGGCGUAAAGAGCUCGUAGGCGGUUUGUCGCGUCGAAUGUGAAAACCCGGGGCUCAACCCCGGGCCUGCAUUCGAUACGGGCAGACUAGAGUUCGGUAGGGGAGUCUGGAAUUCCUGGUGUAGCGGUGAAAUGCGCAGAUAUCAGGAGGAACACCGGUGGCGAAGGCGGGACUCUGGGCCGAUACUGACGCUGAGGAGCGAAAGCGUGGGGAGCAAACAGG
rnacentral:rRNA from 1 species